AUCUGCGGCCACAGAGACUUGAAAAUACCGCAUCCCGUCCGAUCUGCGCAGUCAAGCAAGUCGUCGCCUAGCCAGUACUGCGGUGGGGGACCACGCGGGAAUCCUAGGUGCUGCAGUU
rnacentral:rRNA from 1 species